rnacentral:rRNA from 1 species
GACAGAGGAGCCAAGCGUUGUCCGGAUUGACUGGGCGUAAAGCGCACGCAGGCGGCCGUGCACGUGGGGUGUGAAACGCGCUCGGCUUAACUGAGCGAUGCCACCUCAUACGGCAGGCGUCGAGCCCGUGAGAGGUCCACGGAAUUGACCGGUGUAGUGGUGAAAUGCGUAGAGAGUCGGAGCAGGAACCACCCAGGGGGAAACCGAGUGGACUGGCACGGUGGCGUGACGCUCAGGUGGCGAAAGCGUGGGGAGCGAACCGA